GAGUGUGAAACUGCGAAUGGCUCAUUAAAUCAGUUAUAAUUUACUUGAUAGUCAAACUUAUCAUUGGAUAACCGUGGUAAUUCUAGAGCUAAUACAUGCAAAAAGCCUGACGUGAGGAGGGCUGUAUUUAUUGGAUACGAAACUGAUGGCAGAGAUGCCUUGGUGAUUCACAAUAACUUUACGGAUCGUAUGGCCUUGGAGCUGACGACGUAUCAUUCAAAUUUCUGCCCUAUCAACUUUCGAUGGUACGGUAGGGGCCUACCAUGGUGAUAACGGGUAACGGGGAAUUGGGGUUCUAUUCCGGAGAGGGAGCCUGAGAAAUGGCUACCACGUCCAAGGAUGGCAGCAGGCGCGCAAAUUACCCAAUGCCGAUACGGCGAGGUAGUGACAGAAAAUAACGAUGCGGGGCCGCAAGGCUUUGCAAUUGGAAUGAGUACAAUUUAAAUCGCUUAACGAGUAACGAUUGGAGGGCAAGUCUGGU
rnacentral:rRNA from 1 species